UGGGGAAUAUUGGACAAUGGGCGAAAGCCUGAUCCAGCCAUGCCGCGUGUGUGAAGAAGGCCCUCGGGUUGUAAAGCACUUUCAGUGGGGAAGAAAGCCUCGGGAUUAAUACUUCCGAGGAAGGACAUCACCCACAGAAGAAGCACCGGCUAACUCCGUGCCAGCAGCCGCGGUAAUACGGAGGGUGCGAGCGUUAAUCGGAAUUACUGGGCGUAAAGCGCGCGUAGGCGGUCUGAUCAGCCGGUUGUGAAAGCCCCGGGCUCAGCCUGGGAACGGCAUCCGGAACUGUCAGGCUAGAGUGCAGGAGAGGAAGGUAGAAUUCCCGGUGUAGCGGUGAAAUGCGUAGAGAUCGGGAGGAAUACCAGCGGCGAAGGCGGCCUUCUGGACUGACACUGACGCUGAGGUGCGAAAGCGUGGGUAGCAAACA
rnacentral:rRNA from 1 species